GAUGAACGCUGGCGGCGUGCCUAAUACAUGCAAGUCGAGCGAACGGACGAGAAGCUUGCUUCUCUGAUGUUAGCGGCGGACGGGUGAGUAACACGUGGAUAACCUACCUAUAAGACUGGGAUAACUUCGGGAAACCGGAGCUAAUACCGGAUAAUAUUUUGAACCGCAUGGUUCAAAAGUGAAAGACGGUCUUGCUGUCACUUAUAGAUGGAUCCGCGCUGCAUUAGCUAGUUGGUAAGGUAACGGCUUACCAAGGCAACGAUGCAUAGCCGACCUGAGAGGGUGAUCGGCCACACUGGAACUGUGACACGGUCCAGACUCCUACGGGAGGCAGCAGUAGGGAAUCUUCCGCAAUGGGCGAAAGCCUGACGGAGCAACGCCGCGUGAGUGAUGAAGGUCUUCGGAUCGUAAAACUCUGUUAUUAGGGAAGAACAUAUGUGUAAGUAACUGUGCACAUCUUGACGGUACCUAAUCAGAAAGCCACGGCUAACUACGUGCCAGCAGCCGCGGUAAUACGUAGGUGGCAAGCGUUAUCCCGGAAUUAUUGGGCGUAAAGCGCGCGUAGGCGGUUUUUUAAGUCUGAUGUGAAAGCCCACGGCUCAACCGUGGAGGGUCAUUGGAAACUGGAAAACUUGAGUGCAGAAGAGGAAAGUGGAAUUCCAUGUGUAGCGGUGAAAUGCGCAGAGAUAUGGAGGAACACCAGUGGCGAAGGCGACUUUCUGGUCUGUAACUGACGCUGAUGUGCGAAAGCGUGGGGAUCAAACAGGAUUAGAUACCCUGGUAGUCCACGCCGUAAACGAUGAGUGCUAAGUGUUAGGGGGUUUCCGCCCCUUAGUGCUGCAGCUAACGCAUUAAGCACUCCGCCUGGGGAGUACGACCGCAAGGUUGAAACUCAAAGGAAUUGACGGGGACCCGCACAAGCGGUGGAGCAUGUGGUUUAAUUCGAAGCAACGCGAAGAACCUUACCAAAUCUUGACAUCCUUUGACAACUCUAGAGAUAGAGCCUUCCCCUUCGGGGGACAAAGUGACAGGUGGUGCAUGGUUGUCGUCAGCUCGUGUCGUGAGAUGUUGGGUUAAGUCCCGCAACGAGCGCAACCCUUAAGCUUAGUUGCCAUCAUUAAGUUGGGCACUCUAAGUUGACUGCCGGUGACAAACCGGAGGAAGGUGGGGAUGACGUCAAAUCAUCAUGCCCCUUAUGAUUUGGGCUGCACACGUGCUACAAUGGACAAUACAAAGGGCAGCGAAACCGCGAGGUCAAGCAAAUCCCAUAAAGUUGUUCUCAGUUCGGAUUGUAGUCUGCAACUCGACUACAUGAAGCUGGAAUCGCUAGUAAUCGUAGAUCAGCAUGCUACGGUGAAUACGUUCCCGGGUCUUGUACACACCGCCCGUCACACCACGAAAGUUUGUAACACCCGAAGCCGGUGGAGUAACCUUUUAGGAGCUAGCCGUCNAAGGUGGGACAAAUGAUUUGGGGUGAAGUCGUAACAAGGUAGCCGUAUCGGAAGG
rnacentral:rRNA from 1 species